ensembl:lncRNA
AUAAUCUUCUGGCCUCAAACGUGAGUAGUGCUGAGUUGGUGAAAUCCUGAAGUAGAUUGUGGAGGGUCAAAAAUGUCGAUUCAAGGAGUUAGAACUUAACCCUAUGUGCAUUAGGGAGCCAUUGAAUUUUUUUUUUUUUUCUUUUGAUUUCAAGAGGGAGAGCCCGUACCCAGUGGAAAUAGGUCAGAGAUGGUAAUCUAUAAAAUAGAUGUGACUUUCCAAGUUCUUUGACAGUAAUAAAACUCCAAACUGCUACCUUUUACACACAGGAAAUUACAAAAUCACUUUCUAAUGAGUUUCUUAGGUGCUCCUUGCAGGGAAGAGGGAGCUCUUGAAAGGUACUUAAAACCUUACAGGCAAACCCUUGGUAGGUGUGUGAGAUAAUGAGAAUUCAGCUCACGGAAAGGUAAAAUUGAGCAGCCAACACAAAUUUCUUUUGCUGAAAUGAGUCUGGACGUUCCUGUUGCCCCCAGCAGAGCUGAAAGGGCACAACACGUCUGCCGAUGCCUAUAAAUCACAGACAUGGUUUACAGCAAGGGCGGACUGUACUGAUGUGAUGGGUGUGCUCCAAACUGUCAGUGGGACAUUCCUCACGAUGAUGAGAUGCGAGUGCUGCCAGGAGAGAAUUAUCCCAGCCCCAGCCCCGCCCCCAUUUCUAACCUGCAGGAGAUUUCAAAUUGGUGAGCUACACAUGAUGAAAUUUAGCGGCUAGCUUCCGCUCCGUUUGAAAUCAUCUUCCUGUUGCUCUCCCGCUUUUUACUUUUCACUUACAUAAUAGUUUUCAUUCUGCCAUUGAGCUCUAGGCGCUAAAAAGCUGGUUCCUUUUUGCUGCUGUUCCAUGUAUCUCUGUCAGACAUUCUCAUGUGAGAAAAACAACCCACUAACAACGUAAGGUGUCUGUUGCUUUAAUAGGCUAGCGAAAUAUGAAUGAUAAAUAUCAGGCUAUCAUUUGAUAGUGGCUUAGUGCCAGGAUUGAUAAGUAUGUUGCUGUACCUAAGCAACUCCUCUUUGGGCUGACUGUCUGGGCAGAAUAUGAUUAAUGUGAUGCAGACCUCUCCCAGGGGAAAAACUGGAAGUUUUCAGUUACCUGGAUAGGCUACUGCUUGCUUUAAGCAAAAGCGUAUGUUUGCUCCAGCUGUAAACUACCUUAAGGGCCAAGAAAAUAUCUAACCUUAUAGAUUGCUUCAGACUGAUUCAAUCCUGGAAAAAGGUCAGUCUGCAAAAAUUUUGUUUUGUACUUUUCAAAAUCUUGCAGCAGAGAAUGUCUGUGUCCUGAGGUGUAUGCUUUGCCGC